CUGUCACAGGCUUCUUCGGAUGAGUGCAGCUGUUUCUCUAUGGGGGUGGCGUCUGACCUUACAGAAGUAUCACCUGACAUGUCUACCCCUGCCAGAGAGAUUCCUAAGGAAAACCUGCCUCCAGCCUCUACAGGCCACUCCAGCAGCUGCUGGGCACAUCCGUGACAGCACAGGCCCAGUUGUUCCCAUGGAAGAAGCUCAGGCAUCAGGGGCAUAUGCUGUGUAUAGUACAAACUACACAGGAGAUAGUGUGAUUGGACUUAAUCCUCCAAAAGACUUUCUGCUGAGGCGUCAAGACAUAUUAAAUGCAGAUAAGGUUUGUGAGAGAUUAAACAGGCUUUGA
rnacentral:lncRNA from 1 species